UACGUAGGGCCCAAGCGCUAUCCGGAAUCACUGGGCGUAAAGCGUGCGUAGGCGGAUACUUAAGUGAGAUGCGAAAUUCUGUGGCUCAACCAUAUGAACUGUAUCUCAUACUGGGUGUCUUGAGGACGGCAGAGGCAAGUGGAAUUACCGGUGUAGGGGUGAAAUCCGUAGAUAUCGGUAGGAACACCAAUGGCGAAGGCAGCUUGCUGGGCCGUUUCUGACGCUAAGGCACGAAAGCGUGGGGAGCGAACAGG
rnacentral:rRNA from 1 species